rnacentral:lncRNA from 1 species
AAAAACACCUUGGUGUGACACCUCCUUUUCCCUACACCCCCUAAAGGGUAUAGAAGGGGGGUUUUCCAAUUAAAGGACAAUCGAGAUGAGAUUUUAUUUAUUAAAAUUCGCAGUUGCCACUUGGGAGAUUUAUGGUGUCCCUAGUCACCGAUUGAAUCCCGAAUCAAGGAAAAAUAUGACUCUGUUUAACAGUCCACAAACCAGAAAUCCGAGUAAGGAAUUAUGUUA